rnacentral:rRNA from 1 species
UACGUAGGGUGCAAGCGUUAAUCGGAAUUACUGGGCGUAAAGCGUGCGCAGGCGGUUUGGCAAGAAGGAUGUGAAAUCCCGGGGCUUAACCUCGGAACUGCAUUCUUAACUGCCAGGCUAGAGUAUGUCAGAGGGGGGUAGAAUUCCGCGUGUAGCAGUGAAAUGCGUAGAGAUGCGGAGGAAUACCGAUGGCGAAGGCAGCCCCCUGGGAUAAUACUGACGCUCAUGCACGAAAGCGUGGGGAGCAAACAGG